GGCCAGUUAGCUCAGUUGGUUAGAGUGUGGUGCUGAUAACACCAAGGUCAAGGGUUCGGAUCCCUAUACCAGCCA